AUUGAACGCUGGCGGUAGGCCUAACACAUGCAGGUCGAACGGCAGCACAGGAGAGCUUGCUCUCUGGGUGGCGAGUGGCGGACGGGUGAGGAAUACAUCGGAAUCUACUUUUUCGUGGGGGAUAACGUAGGGAAACUUACGCUCAUACCGCAUACGACCUACGGGUGAAAGCAGGGGAUCUUCGGACCUUGAGCGAUUUAGUGCGCCGAUGUCGGAGUAGCUAGUUGGCGGGGUAAAGGACCACCAAGGCGACGAUCCGUAGCUGGUCUGAGAGGAUGAUCAGCCACACUGGAACUGAGACACGGUCCAGACUCCUACGGGAGGCAGCAGUGGGGAAUAUUGACAAUGGGCGCAAGCCUGAUCCAGCCAUACCGCGUGGGUGAAGAAGGCCUUCGGGUUGUAAAGCCCUUUUGUUGGGAAAGAAAUCCAGCUGGUUAAUACCCGGUUGGGAUGACGGUACCCAAAGAAUAAGCACCGGCUAGCUUCGUGCCAGCCGCCGCCGUAA
rnacentral:rRNA from 1 species